UGUAGAACUAAUUCUAAGAACUAAUUUUAUUAAACUAACUGAUGACUAAAUUAUACUAAUUGACUAUUUGGAAACUAUGACAGAGACGCUAGAAAAAGCGCUAGCUCCAUUAUUGAUUAUUGGAUCAUUUUUCAAUUUGGGCAUAUUCGAAUAUCCUCGUGGACAAUUCAGGCCGUGUCUCUCUUAUUUAUAUGUUUUGGCCAUAUGGAGCUUUUUUAUGUACUUCUAUUUCUAUCCAACGUAUUACUUGAAUUAUUUACGGAUUAAAAUUAUAAACACAUAUGUGAAUUGAAAAUGUGCUUACGUGAACUUGCUAUAGUAGACGAUACGUUGGAAGCUCUCGGAGAACCAAAGAAAUACCAAAGGCUACGUAAUUGGAUAAUUCGAAUAAUAAUCGGAUGGAUUGCAUACAUAUUUUAUGAAUUAGUAUAUUGGAAUUAUAUUGCUUUCUUUGUUUUUAAUUAUGACAUAAUUUCCUGGUUUCUUCUUGUGUUUCGUUUUGGGUUUCUGAACUAUUAUCCGCCAAACAUCAUUAUUUUAAGUACUCUGAUUUCUGCAGCUAUUCUUCGGCAAAAACGCGACACAAACUCGAAAAAAAAUAUGUGCCGUAUACGGGGAAGAUGCCGUAAAUGAUCGCAUGUGCCAGAAGUGGUUUGCUAAAUUUCAUUCAGGAGAAAUGAAUAUUGAAGAUGCUCCUCGCUGCCCGGCCAGUUACAACCGAUGUCGACCAAAUUACAGCUUUAAUUGAUUCCGAUCGGCAAAUCACAGUUCGGAAAAUCGCAACAAGGUUAAACAUUGGCAAAUCAACUGUUUCCGAACAUUUAAACAAGCUCCAGAUUAUAAAAAAGCUUGAUGUUUGGGUGCCGCACGACUUAACUGAAAAAAAUCGUAUUAAUCGCAUUUUCAUCAGCGAUUUGCUAUACAAACGCAACGAAUACGAAUAUCCAUUUUUCAUAGCGUAUCAUAAGGCGACGAAAAGUGAAUAAUUUAUAAUAAUGUCGAGCGUAAAAGGUCAUGGAGCAAGCGAGGUCAACCGCCAUCGACCACUUCGAAGGCAGGCUUACAUCCAAAGAAGGUAAUGCUUUGCAUUUGAUGGAAUUAGAAGGGGAUAGUGUACUAUGAGCUAUUACCGAUUCGGACAAGUAUUGUUCACAAUUGGAUAAAUUGAAGGUGAAAAUCGCCAAAAAGUGUCCGGAAUUGAUCAAUAGGAAAGGCUUCGUUUUUCAUCAUGACAACGCCAACCUCAUACAAGUUUAUAGAUUCGACAAAAAUUAUUGGCGUUUGGCUGGGAUGUUUUGCCUCAUUCCCCCGACAUUGCACCCUCGGAUUAUCAUU